rnacentral:lncRNA from 1 species
GCCAUCCUGGACUGCAGAGUGAGUUCCUGGACAGCUAAGAGAAACCCUGUCUCAAAAACAAAACAAAACAAAACAAAUAAAAACAACAACAAGAAGAAGAUUUGAUAGGAACUAGCGGAAAAUGAAUAUAUAAAAUUCAAUAUUUACCCAGUUUAUAUAAAGAGCAGGGUUAACACAAUCAAAAUUUAGAAUUGAAUAUGCUGCUUAUAAUAAUAAAGCAAUACUUGUGGUUACAUAGUUCUAUUACUAGAAUGAUACACAUAUUUUAAGAUGCUUACAUGAUGUAGUAUCUCACUUCCAUAGAAAAGAAAAUUACAGUCCUCCUGAGUGAAUAAAAUAAUCAAAACAAGUUAGUAAUCUGGAUUGCCAAGGCAGUUUUUGUGAAGUAAGGUAAAUUCUGUUUAUUUAACUCACUUCAAGUAUACAAAAGAAUGGCCAAGUAAAUGUAUGUUAGUGAUUCUUAAUGUGUUACAUGGUUGCUUGGUUGGUAUAUGAGGUGUAGGGGGCAAGUAUUGCAGCCACAUGAAUGUACAGAGGUAGACCUUGGAUAUUUUCUCUGCCAGCCUCCUUAUUGCCUUGAGAUAGAUCCUCUCUCUGGACUAAAGUCUUGCUGUUUGGACCAGGCUUGCUAGGCAGUGAACUGCCAGGAUUCAGCUCUGUCUACCCAGCAAUGCCAGGCUCACAGACACCUAUAGACAUGCCCAGCUUUUAUCAUGGGCCCUGAGGAUUGGAACUCAAGCCCUCAUGCCUGUAUAGCACUCUUGCCUGCUAAGCCUCCUCCCCAGUCCCACUGUUUUCUAUUCAUGGGCCAAAUAAUCUAGUUUAAAUUAACUGCAAGUGCCAAGAAAUAAUAGCUAAACAAUAUUUUAUAAUGAAAAUUAGAUUAUUAUAUGUUAAUAUAGUACAGAAAUGCUUUGAAAUUGUACAGGUAAUCAAUGUUUGCUGCAGCUUUAUUACAUUGAAUUGUUUAUUCUGGCACUUAGAAAUAUUUAUUUCAGUGAUCUAAUUAUUUGGUUAGAGGGUUUUGUUUUUUCUAUUUUAGAAGAAAUUGAAUUAUUAGCUAGUAGCAUAACGAUGACAUUCAACUUUAUCAGUCAACUUACUAUCAAAGUAUGCCAUUUAUAGAAGAAAAGAAUGGAUAACUGGUUUACAAUGGAGCUUUUAGAUUUGAUUAUGACUAUUAUCGCAUGAAAAUACUUUAUAAAGAUGUUAUGUGUGGAUUGAAGUAGAUGCUGUCUUAUAGUUCUUAUAAGCUCUAAAAAACAUCGAUGAAAAAGAACAGUGCUUUAACUAUAGUAGAGAAAAUACCAUGGUCAAAAGCAGACGUGAUGAGGUGAUUUGAAUACAUACUAAAUAUGUGGCUUUUACUACAGUGAUAACGAGACUAUAAGGUCCAUCUGCCUCUUAAAAUAGGUCAAAUAGUGCAUUCUAGGAAAGGAAAGGAAAUUGGUUGUCAAAAGUUAUAUAGAUAAGUUCAUAAAAGUUUAGUACGUCCCCUGGAAGGCAGGUAAUGUUAUAGAUAGAACCCCAGCUGUGCCGUUUAAUAUGUCUGAUCUUUUUUUAGCUCUAAAGUCUGUUAGGUUAAAAUAAACUUGUUUCAUGGAUUAAAUUGGAUUCAUGGCUGGGUAUGGUAGGACACUUUUUAUCCCAGCACUUGGGAGGCAGAGACAAGCAGAUCUCUGAGAGGUUGAGGCCAGUCUGGUGUACAGAGUGAGUUCCAGAACAGCCAGGGCUCCAUGAGACCCUGGCUCACUGUCCACCUCCAAGUAGGGUUUAUAUAUAAAAGCGGAACAUAGAUUAUAAGCCAUUAUGCAAAGGAAAUAAAUACUAUGAUGAUUCUAAACUCUACUGCAACCUAAUCUAAAUAUACUGCAACAAGUGUGUGCAGGAUAUGUACAAUGAAUGUAUAAAAGACAAGAAGCUUAUAAAGAAAGACAAAAAGUAAAACUAUCCUGUAAGAAGCAGGGUUAAUCUACUUAACUGUGUGUAAGCAUUAAAUGAACCACAGCCUUUUGGUAGCCAUGGUGAACACAAGAAAAGUUGGUUUGUAUGAUUCUUACUCUAUGCUGAAAGGAAGGUUAUAGUUAUUAAACAGACCUUUGAAGCAAGUGCAAGCAGGGAGUUACUAGGACAAUCCUGUAUGCACCUAGUAACAACAGUGAAAGUGUCUGCUGGCAUUAGGUGUGCUGUCUUGGAUAAUGGUUCUGCAGAGUUUGCACAUGAGCUCCACUUAAUGACUUUUGUCUUGCUCUUUAAACAGAAUCCAAGAAACAACACUGUGUAGUUUUAUUUGAGAAACAUCGCCCAACAAUGUUGGGUUUUGGUGGUUACCUCAAGUACGGAGCUUAAAAUUUG